UAUCUGUGCGGAAAAGUUUACAAUGAGUUCUAUCAUUAACGGAAAAACAGAAACAGAUUUAGAGCUGUAGGAAAAAAUAUUUUUUUAUGCUCAUCAGGUAUUUUCUAGUUGUCAUUUCUAUAAAUCGAUUGAUUAGAUAUAGAGUGCACGAGAAACUAUAAGUACAGUGAAACUGUAAGAGGGUGGAAGAAAACUUGAAAAAUGCGCUAUUAUAUGAAGGUCAAAGAAAAGAAAAUACUUGAAGAAGUUGGAGAUUAGAACUUUUCAAUUUUCUGAAAGUUCCCACCGACACCCUUCUAUGUUGGGAUGGAUGGAGAAAACCACAAAUCAUUGAGUGGCUGCGACAAAAACCAUACCAUUUGAUGAAAGUAUGGAUAAAAAAACUAUUUUCCAUAGUAUGUUCAAAUAGCUUGUUUCACGAAAGAUGACACAGAAACGAAAUAUUAUUCGACGUCUGCCCCCUUAUCAUUAUGAACUUAAUCCCAUUGAACUCUUUUGGACAAUAUGUGGAAAUUAGACCAUUCAGUUGAGGAAAUUCUAGAACCUUUAAUCAUAACAUUCGACGUAGAUUCAUCGGAUUUAUCUGAUGAUAACACACCAUAGUUUUUGCUUAGACCCAAUAUCUUCUUAAAUAAGCAUACAUAUUUAUCAUUAUAUGAUUAUUUCAAAUUAAAAUGUUAUAACAACA